ensembl:lncRNA
CAUUUAAAGUGCGAUAAGUCAAAGUCCCAGUGGUGAAAGUAAAGGGCGCACCAAAGCUGCAGUCUCUGUGGUAAAAAUAUACCUUAAGGUGUGAAUAUGGGGGGGUUAGGUUCUUGAUUAAACUUUUCAGGAAAGGUAACUUCUUAGUAAUCGAUGGAGUUCAACUAGUGGAACAUGUAAUAAUCAUCACGCCUUAUUUGGUGCUUUCCCCCUGUGACGUGGUCAUGGGUGAGUUGUAUAAGUACCAACAGUAGUAAGACUAUCUAGGGAAUUUACCUUAUUCUACUCAAGCUGACACUUCUAGCUCCGGAGCUCUUUGAAAGACAUGAAGAACUUUGGUAUUGAGUGUCUUACACUGUUGAUGAUAGCUGUGAUGGUCUAUGCAGCACCAAUCAACCCGUGUGAAGACAAAAGGCUGAAGCUGAAGCAAAUUAGAGAACAUGCCAACAAGGCAUUAAAAGAUCAUCUGCCUGACUUCAAUGUGCCUAAGAUAGAAAAAUGUGUGGAAAAAUUCUUCUGCUUAGCUGACAAGGCGCUGAACAAAUCUCUGGAAAACAAUUCAAAUCAGAAUCUGGCAACACUUGAGCAUUCCCUGCGUGUGUACAGCAAGGAUGAAAACUGUCACCUGCACACGCAAAACCAAUAUAAUAUAAAAGACUUUCUGGAGAAAAUUGUGCAUUGUGUUGACGUCGCCUUGAACAACAAGAGCAUCAUAUGUCCACAUCAUAUUAAAUGAAGAGUUAUCCCCAAGUUUAUUGCAACUGUAAAUAUAUUUAUGGACUUAUUUAAUGACAUAUUUAUUACUUUUUUCACGUUUUCUAUUUAUAUACAAAUAAAUUAAAACAAAAAGGAGCACUUGUCAUUACUUUGAUUUUUACACCUAUUGAUGUGUGUUUGUGUAUUUAUUACUCAUUACUGCCAUCAGUGUGUAACGUUUAUGGGAUAAUUAUGAACUUCAGCCAGGCAUGUUAAUGAUUUAGACAUGUGAUCACUGGAUUUAUAGCCUAUCUUUAUCUCUUUAUUUAAAAUUAAUGUGUGCAUCAGUCGCAUGCUUCUUACCAAUAUAAAUGAUUAAAUUAUUAAAUGUUUUUUAAAACAUGUCAUUCAUAAAUAAACAAACAGGGCCUGCCUGAGUAGAGCGUAGGCUUCUUUGUCUGCCUGAGAAAGCGGUCUGUUGAUGGUGACCACUUCCCACGCAGGAAAGCAGAAACAGCCCAUUUGUAGCACCUCAUCCCUCUUUGAGCCACCUCUCUGCGGGGCAACCCCCGGUUCAUUUACUGAC